rnacentral:lncRNA from 1 species
AACUCAAUGCUGAGUUCCUUCCUCGCGAUCUUGACGGAACUCGAUUUGAGUAUCUCGCCUCAGCUCGGUGAGCUUUUGACACGCUUUCCUUUCUCACAGACCUUGUCUUGUAUCACACUGGGGUAGGUCCCUGACACAUAUGGUUUGUAGCUAGUGGUAGGUGGUUGGUGACGCUUACUGAUUCCGUAGAACUCAGAUUAGCACAUCAUGAUUGUUGAGUGCUCCUUGCUGUCAAGCCCGUGACUGCUUGACCUUUCCAUGUUCCUCCACCUGAGUCGAGAACUCUUCUCGACCCUGUCUGGGCUCCAGGUAUCUCCUAUUACCCUUAUCACGGUGUUCCUUAUUACGGUUUGACUCCCAUUACACAUACUUACAUACAUAACUGCUUGUGUUAUGCGAGGGUGGAGUCAAUUCGAAUAGGAUCACCUGGAGCCUUCUCCACCUUAUUAGUGGACGUUCAAAAGCUCACAGCAAAGCUGGAACUUCUGACCAGGUACUGUCUUCGUUAGGAAAUCAGCUGGGUUAACGUUAGUAUGAAUCUUGUUUAGGAUGAUGUCCCCUGAUUCCACUAGGUCUCGAAUGAAGUUGAAUUUGGUAGCUAUGUGCUUUGUCUUUUCGUGAUUGACUGGGUUUCUUGCUAGAGCUAGUGCACUCUGAGAGUCGCAGUGUAGGUUAAUACUUUGUUGUUUGAACCCCAACUCUGAGCAUAUUUCUUUUAGCCACAUUGCUUCUUUAGCUGCUUCAUUCAUAGCCAUGUACUCUGCUUCUGUGGUAGAUAGAGCCACAACUGAUUGUAGGCAAGAUUUCCAAGAAAUAGUGUUGCCUCCAAACUUGAAUACAUAGCCUGUAACUGAGCGUCUCCUGUCUAUGUCUGUAGCAUAAUCUGAGUCUGAAUAUCCUUCCACGUGCAAAGUAGAAUGUUUCUUAAAUGUUAGGUUAGACUCAGUCGCUCCUUUUAAGUACCUGAGAACCCACUGAACUGCUUUCCAGUGUUCUCUCCCUGGUUUACUCAUGAAUCGACAUACAUAGCCCACUGCAAAACCUAGAUCAGGUCUGGAGCCUACCAUAGCGUACAUAAGACUCCCCACAGCACUAGCAUAUGGAACUCUCUCCAUAUGUGAAGCUUCUACUUUCCACUCAUCCUCCGUCAGACUCCUGAGUCUGAAGUGUGACGCAGUAGGAGUAAUCACUGGCUUAGCGUCCUGCAUUCCAAACGUUCUUAGGACCUUUUCAAUGUAGUUACUCUGAGAUAGGAUCAGGGUUCCUUUCUCUCGGUCUCUUGUAAUAUCCAUGCCCAAAAUUCUUGAGGCUUUUCCCAUAUCCUUCAUCUCGAAUUCUCCACUCAGUUUUUCCUUAAGAUCUUUUAUUACCUUUUUGUUUCCUGAUGCGAUUAACAUGUCAUCGACAUAGAGAAGUAGAUAGAUAGCCUUCUCCGUUUGAACAUCUCUCAUGUAGACACACAGGUCUUUGCUGCAGCGCUCAAACAACUGAUCCUUCAUGAAACUGUUGAACCGAUGGUUCCAUCUUCUUGGGGAUUGUUUUAAGCCGUACAAAGACUUUCUCAACAAGCAAACUUUGUUCUCUGUUCCUGGCUUUAUAAACCCCUCUGGCUGUUCCAUUAGGAUCCUCUCCUCUAGGCUUCCAUGUAGAAAGGCAGUUUUAACAUCCAUCUGCUCUAGUUCUAGGUUUAGGUUCACUACAAUGCUGAGCAUAAGCCUGAUGGAAACAUGUUUCACAACUGGUGAGAAAAUUUCGUUGUAGUCAACUCCUUCAGUCUGAGAAUAACCUUUAGCAACUAGUCUGCCUUUGUGUCGUUUAUCCUCAACACCUGGGAUUCCUGGCUUUAUCUUGAAUAGCCACCUGCAUCCAACAAGCUUCGAAUUUGCAGGCCUGUCAAUGAGAUCCCAGGUUCUAUUCUUUCUAUGUGACUCCAUCUCUUCUUCAGCCGCAUUCUUCCACAGCUUCCUUUGUGGGCUUCUCAUUGCCUCAGCAUAGGACUUAGGUUCCUGAACUUCCAGAUCUGCGAUGACAUUGAGGGCGUAGGCAACAAAAUUUCCAUCCUCGUAACGUGAUGGAGGCCUCACGUUCUGCCUCCUUUCUCUAUCUCGAGCCAAAACAUAGGUGUCUAGGGAGUCAGUGCCUGCAUUCUCACUCUCCCCUUCCUCAACAUGUCCCUGGUUACUAGAACAUGUAGAACUGUCAGACGAUGACUCAGAUGAUGAAUCUUCUCCACCUUGAUCAGGUGUAGCUUCGAGUUCGGGAGAAAGUGAAGGACCCCUGAUCAAUUCAUCACUGAAUGAUACUCUCUUUUUAGCUCUUUUCUCACGUUUAUUGUCUUUCUCUUUUGCCACUUCUAUGUUUUUCUUUUCUGUGGCAAGCGUGUGCUUGUAGAGCUCAUCCUCAUUAAAGACAACGUUUCUGCUUGUUCUGCAUCUCCCUUCUUCCUCUAUCCAUACUCGAUAUCCUUUAGAGCCCAUAGGGUAGCCUACAAACACUCCCUUGAUGGCUCUAGGUCCAGUUUUCUCUUCUGUCACAUGAACAUAUGCGGAACAUCCAAACGUUCUGAGAUGUCCCAAAUCAGGUUUGAAUCCCGACCAAACUUCCUCAGGUAGCUUAAACUCCAGCGUGGAGUUAGGUGACCUGUUAAUCAAAUAGAUUGCAGUCGCUGCCGCUUCUGCCCAGAAGCUUUGGUCCAAGCCAGAUUCGGCUAACAUACAUCUCACCUUAUCCAUAAUAGUUCUGUUCAUCCUCUCUGAAACCCCAUUCUGCUGUGGAGUGUAGGUGCAGGUUCUGUGCCUCUUAAUCCCGGCUUUCUUGCAGUACUCAUCAAACUGCUUGUUGCAGAACUCCAAACCAUUGUCUGUUCUUAAACAUUUAAUCUUCUUCUCUGUCUUAGUCUCAACCUCAGCCUUCCAUUCUCUGAACUUAGAAAAUACCUCAUCCUUAGUCUUCAAAAAAUAGAUCCAGACUUUCUUUGAAAAAUCAUCAAUAAAAGUAACAAAGUACUUAUUUCCAGCAAGACUAUCUGGUGUAGACGGAGAACCCCAAAGAUCAGAAUGAAUAUACUCUAGAAUUCCUUUAGUCACGUGCUUAGCCUUAGGAAAGCUCAGCUUAUGUGACUUACCAAUUAUGCAAUGCUCGCAGAAAUCCAACUCCUUAACAUCCUUGUCAGUUAUAAAUCCAUUCUUGACAAGUGUAGACAUAUUCUUGAGACUCAUAUGACCGAGGCGUGAAUGCCAAACAUUAGUCAUAUUCCUUUCAGGUCUGGAUAAAUUUGCCUCUCCUCUCAAAACUGUUCCUUGAAGAUAAUAUAGUCCUAAAUGAUAUCUCCCUGAGAGAAUCCUUUUAUCGUCCUUGUAAAAGUUAACACUUAGGUCCUUGCCUUCAUACCAACAGCCUGCUGUUUCCAACAUUCCAUAUGAAAUCAGAUUUCUGCUCAUAUCUGGCAUGUAUCUGACUCCUGUUAAGAUAACCAGAGAACCAUCUGGGUUAAGAAUUUUAAUCUUUCCAAUUCCUUUAACGUUGCUGUGAGUGUUAUUUGCCAUUAACACUUUUCCUCCUUUGAAUUCUUCCAAGUCAAAUAGGAAGCUCUUGUCAGGAGUGAUAUGAAAAGAGCAGCCUGAAUCCAUCACCCACUCAUCUUUUGUAUCCUGAGUGCUAACGCUGAGGAUUAGAGGCUCUGUGGACUCUGCUACUACGUUGGCUGAGUCCUGCGGUUUGAAAGAUCUCUUCUCAGGGCACUCUCUCUUCCAAUGGCCCUCUUUGCCACAUAUGAAACAUCCUUUGUUGUUUUUGUUGUUCCUAGGGCGUGAUUUAGAUCUUCCAUUCCGGCUUUUGGAUCUUCCUUUGUAGGAUUUGCCAUUGCCCUUUCCAGAUCGCUGGUCUGAUCUUCCUCUAUCAGCCACCAUCAGACCUUCUCCACCUGACCUGGUAUACUUACCGCUCUCAAUUAGUUCUCUCUCUUUGGACCUGGCGGCCCCUGUGACCUCCGCUAGACUCAGAGUGUCUCUCCCAUACUUGAGAGUCUCCUUGAGUUGAUCAUACUUGUUAGGUAGAGAACUUAGCAGUAGGAUAGCUUGAACUUCCUCAGAUACUUCAACUUGCAGGUUGUUUAAGUCUGCCACUAACUUUAGGAAGUCAUCCACAUUCUCAUCAAUGGAUUUUGAAUCUGCCAUCUUGAAAGUAUAGAACCUGAGCUGUAGAUAAAUCCUGUUGGGUAGAGAAGUCUCUGUGUACAAGUUGUUUAGUGUACUCCACAUUGCAGCAGCAGUUUCACAAUGUUGGAUUUUCCUCAAGACUUUGUUCCCAACGUUCAGCACAAUCAGGUCCUUGGCUUUCUCUGAUUUUUCGAAUUUUACAGGGUCAAUUGCAGGUGUGGGAGCAACAAGUCCAGCUAGCCCCUUUCCCGUGUCCUUAAUUGCUGACUCGGGUUCAUCCUUUGGAUCAGACUCAUCCUUUAGAAGCUUCUCAUCUGUGAGGAUAGUUUUCAAUCCAAGCACUCCAAAGUGAGCAAGCAUUCUCACCUUCCAAAGGGCAAAAUCUCCAUCACCCUCGAAUCGAUCUAUAUCCACGCGUUCCUUAGACGACACCAUUGAACAGGUACUGGAUAUAUGUUUUUCUCUUCCUAAGCAACCUUUGGAAAACCUUGAGCUCUGAUACCACUUGUAGAGAUUAUUCUUUAGGUUUACUUAGGUUCCAAGUUUACUUUAGACCUAGGACUAAUACUGAAAGUAAUGACACAAUCAAUUUAACGAGUUCCCGGCCCUCGGCACGGUACGUCUCGUGGGAGAACUCCUGCUCCCAAAUUCCACUAGAUCAAAGAGUUACUAAUCACACCAACUCAGUGUGGAUUAGGUUGGUUACAAUAAGAUCACCUCAGCUUAUAGCUAGAGAAUACAACAACUUAGCGUAAGAAGAUAGACUUAAGCCUAAGCUAUUUCUCCUUGUUGAAGUCUCCUUUCCCUUGCUCUGUAUGCUAGAUCUCCUGUUGCUUGUAACCCUAUGUUGUUGCUUGUAUCUGUCGUAACCUAAUCACCAUACUAACAUUACCUUAUAUAUGCUUCGUAUGUGAUCAGGUGGUACAAGCUUGGAGUGGGCCUGCGCUGACUUGGCCCAAGGAGGUAUGCUUCUGCUGGCCCAUUAGACUCUUCUGCGAAGCCCAAACUCUACAAU